rnacentral:tRNA from 1 species
GGUGAGGUGCCGGAGUGGAAUCAGAGCAGAUUGCUAGUCUGUCGACGGUUAUGUGUCGCCUGGGUUCGAGUCCCAGUCUCUCCG